rnacentral:lncRNA from 1 species
CUGGAGGGGCUCUGCUCGGCCCUCAAAGAUGGACAAAAUGUUGGAAUCAAGCACAUUCCUGCAAUCCAGUAUGACAUUUGGAUUCAAACCAGCAAUGAGGUCAUUUUGCUUCACCAAAUUAUCCUGUCUCAUAUCCACCAAACAAGGAGCGUAUCUACAUUUUGGACGCUGCUCCACGUGAAAGAAUCGAGCUUCGAUGAACAUUAUUAUAUAGAGCCAUCAUUUGAGUGUCGGUUUGAUCCCUUGGAAGUUCCAGAUGGGCCAUUUGGUUUCUCUCCCCUUAUAGAUUAUUACUGCGGCAUGAAAAACCCUCCAUUAAUCAGAUCAACAGGGAGAUUCAUGUGGAUUAAGUUUAGUUCUGAUGAAAAGAACUAAUAUUCAUUUAUUCCAGAUCCAGACUUUACUUACCUAGGAGAUUGUGGGUUUCAGCUCUUGGGAGCCGAUGGAAUAGUGCACUCUAGUCAGGUACAACAAGAAGAGAAAACAAAACCUGGCCAAGCCGUUGAUUGCAUCUGGACCAUGAAAGCCACUCCAAAAGCUAGGAUUUGAGGUUCCUAGAUUAUCCAAUGGAGCACUCAAAUGAAUCCAAGAGAGACAUUGUUGCAGUCUACGAUGAAAGCAGUUCUAUUGAAAACCUGAAGGCCAAGUUUCGCAGCACUGUGGCCAAUGAUGGAAUGCUUAAAACAGGAAUAGGCGUGAUACAAAUGUGGGCAGAUGAAGGUAGUCGGCUUAGCUCAAAUUCUCUUUACUUCCUUUGUUGAGCCCUGCACAGGCAGCACUGUCUUUUGCCAUAGCAACAUGUGCAUCAAUAAUCCUUUAGUCUGUAAUGGUGUCCAAAAUUGUGUAUACCCUUGGGAUGAAAAUCAUUGUAAAGAAAAGAGAAAAGGCAGGACUAUCUGAACAAAUCACUGAAACUCAUGGGACAGUUAUUGGCAUUACUUCAGAGAUUGUCUUGGUCUUUCUCAUUAUUUCUGUUUUAGUACAAGUGAAACAGCCUCAAGAAAAGGUCAUGGCUUGCAAAACUGCUUUUCAUAAAACCGGGUUCCAAGAAAUGUUUGAUCCUCCUUAUUAUGAACUGUUUUCGCUAAGGGACAAAGACAUUUCUGCAGAUCUGGCAGACUUGUCAGAAGAACUGAACAACCACUAGAAGACGCGGCACUCCUCCACCACCUCCCAGUGCAUCCAUGACCACCACUGUGGGUCGCUGACCUCCAGCGUCAAACAAAGCAGGACCAACCUCAGUUCCACGGAGCUUCCUUUCCAAAAUGACUUUGCACAACCACAGCCAAUGAAAACAUUUAAUAGCACCUUCAAGAAAAGUAGUUACACUUUCAAACGGGGACACAAGUGCCCUGAACAGCCCCUAGAAGAUCAAGUAAUGGAGGAGAUUCCUUGUGAAAUUUAUGUCGGGGGGAGAGAAGAUUCUGCAUAAGCAUUCAUAUCCAUUGAAUUCUAA